AUUGCACGCUGGCGGCAGGCUUAACACAUGCAAGUCGCGCGGGGGAAGGUAGCGUGCUACCGGACCUAGCGGCGGACGGGUGAGUAAUGCUUAGGAAUCUGCCUAUCAGUGGGGGGCAACAUCUCGGCAGGGCUGCGAAUACCGCAUACGUCCUACGGGAGAAAGCAGGGGAUCUUCGCACCGUGCGCUACUAGCUGAGCCGCAGUGGGAUUAGCUAGGUGGUGGGGUAAAGGCCUACCAAGGCGACGAUCUGUAGCGGGUCUGAGAGGAUGGUCCGCCACACUGGGACUGAGACACGGCCCAGACUCCUACGGGAGGCAGCAGUGGGGAAUAUUGGACAAUGGGGGGAACCCUGAUCCAGCCAUGCCGCGUGUGUGAAGAAGGCCUUAUGGUUGUAAAGCACUUUAAGCGAGGAGGAGGCUACUCUAGUUAAUACCUAGGGAUAGUGGACGUUACUCGCAGAAUAAGCACCGGCUAACUCUGUGCCAGCCGCCGCGGUAA
rnacentral:rRNA from 1 species